GGCUAUCGCCAACAGCAGUUGGGCUGUUGUAUCCGCACCAAAAGUCGGCAGCAAUUAAGCUGUCGCUAAUAGCAGUUGGGCUAUUACAUCUGAACCGAAAAUCGAUAAUGGAGGACUAUCGUCGAUGGCAGUGGGUCAUCGCCAACCGAACCAAAAUCGAUAGUGGAGGGCUAUCGUCGAUGACAGUGGGUCAUCGGAGACCGAACUGA